rnacentral:piRNA from 1 species
UGGUGAGGCUUGCCAGGAACAACAUC